rfam:Agrilus planipennis Contig53910, whole genome shotgun sequence.
AAAAGGGUAAGGGGUAGCCUCUCCUAGGCUUUGUCUAUAUUAUAACGAAGACAUAGCCUAACUGAGGUUAAUCCUAUUCCUUUAU